CAACAAACAGAAAACUAAAGCGGGCUUAAAUAGGCGAACGGAACAGGAGAGCAGGGCGGGACUAAUUAAUCAAAACAGGUGGAGAUGAUAAAAGGAGCAUACAGACUAAUAGACAAUAAACCUAAGGUAGAAAACAAGACAAAGACUAAACAGACACGAGCUGAAA